rnacentral:snRNA from 1 species
AAAUGUAUUACUAUUACUAAAUUAGAACGAUACAGAGAAGAUUAGCAUGGCCCCUACGCAAGGAUGACACGCAAAUUCGUGAAGCGUUCCAUAUUUUU